GCCACAGCCGCCAUCUUUCUCUCGCUGAAGUGCGGCGGCUGGGUGAAAGUCGCCGAGUGGGAGAGUGCGGAGAGUGUGGAGAGUGUGGAGAGUGUGGAGAGUGUGGAGGGUGUGGAGAGUGUGGAGGGUGCCGCCGUUGCCAUGCCGACCCCACCGCUGCGGGUGGCUGUGGUGUGCUCCAGCAACCAGAACCGGAGCAUGGAGGCACACAAUAUCCUAAGCAAACGGGGAUUCAGUGUCCGGUCCUUUGGAACAGGAACUCACGUGAAGCUUCCAGGACCAGCACCCGACAAGCCAAAUGUUUAUGAUUUCAAGACCACAUAUGAACAGAUGUACAAUGAUCUCCUUAGGAAAGACAAGGAACUCUACACGCAGAAUGGCAUUCUGCAUAUGUUGGACAGAAAUAAGCGAAUCAAGCCCGGACCAGAAAGGUUCCAAGACUGCAAGGACCUGUUCGACCUGAUUCUCACCUGCGAGGAGAGAGUGUAUGACCAGGUGGUGGAAGAUCUGAAUUCCAGAGAGCAGGAGACCUGCCAGCCGGUGCACGUUAUCAACGUGGACAUCCAAGACAACCACGAAGAGGCCACCUUGGGGGCGUUCCUCAUUUGUGAGCUCUGCCAAUGCAUUCAGCACACGGAGGACAUGGAGAAUGAGAUCGAUGAGCUGCUGCAGGAGUUCGAGGAGAAGAGCGGCAGGGCCUUCCUGCACACUGUCUGCUUCUACUGACCCAGCCUGGGCCUGGCGCGCCAGCCCUUCCGAGGGACGUCUUUUUGAGCUAAUUUUUGUUAAUACUUUUCCUUCUUGAUACUUGUUUUACUUUUAAAGCUUCUGCUCGUGGACAAUAGCAGUACCCAAAUGAACUGUACAUAUGAAAUGAGAAGAUAUACAUAAAUGCGAGAUUAACAACAAUCGCUUGUUUUUUUAAUCUCACUUUUGCUUAUGAGUGGGAUAUUGAUUGUGAAGGUUUUUUUAACCAAAAAAGAAAAAAACGGUUUAUAGUACAUUUUCCCCGAUAUUUCUGUGUCUUUCAUUGUGCGUUCCUCUCCCCUACCUGGCUGGAAUGUACAAAUUCCUGAAUAAAACAAUAGGCUUUAUCU